rnacentral:tRNA from 1 species
AGUCCGGUUAAGGCAGCGGAUUCUGAAUCCGCCAUUCGUAGGUUCGAAUCCUACUACCCCUG